rnacentral:other from 2 species
AACAUUCUGGGAUAUGCGACGCUCUGCUUUUUGAACCUACAGCAUUACGACGGGAGAUCUAUAUUUAAACGUGGAUAUCGGGCCUCAUUCAGUGCAGAGGAGGAUAGAAGCGUUUGUGCGAUCACCCACCUAUCCGCAGGAUAGGUGUCAAAAAACAGACGACGGUAUCCUGGUUUUUUU